CGCCUGUUUAUCAAAAACAUCGCCUCUUGACCACUAUAAGAGGUCCAGCCUGCCCAGUGACCAGUUUAACGGCCGCGGUACCCUAACCGUGCGAAGGUAGCAUAAUCACUUGUUUCUUAAAUAGAGACUAGUAUCAACGGCAUCACGAAGACUAUACUGUCUCCCCCCUAAAAUCAAUGAAACUGAUCUCCUCGUGAAGAAGCGAGGAUAUACAUAUAAGACGAGAAGACCCCAUGGAGCUUUAAACGAACUUCAUUUGUUCCUACCCAUAACAUACAAAUUGAACACUCCCUGAUAGAUAGUUUUAGGUUGGGGUGACCGCGGAGUAAAACAAAACCUCCACAAUGAAUGUAAUAAAAUUCUUAUAAAAGAACUACAAUUCUAAUAAUCAAAAAUUUGACAUAAGUUGACCCAAACACUUGAUCAAUGAACCAAGUUACCCUGGGGAUAACAGCGCAAUCCAUUUUAAGAGCCCAUAUCGACAAAUGGGUUUACGACCUCGAUGUUGGAUCAGGGUAUCCCAGUGGUGCAGCCGCUACUAAAGGUUCGUUUGUUCAACGAUUAAAACCCUACGUGAUCUG
rnacentral:rRNA from 1 species